rnacentral:rRNA from 1 species
GACGAACGCUGGCGGCGUGCUUAACACAUGCAAGUCGAACGAUGAAGAAAAGAAUUGAAGCUUCGGCAGAAAUUCAUUUCGGAUUAGUGGCAGACGGGUGAGUAACGCGUGAGCAACCUACCUCUUACAAAGGGAUAGCCUCGGGAAACCGGGAUUAAUACCAUAUAACAUUGCGACGAAGCAUUUCGAUGCAAUCAAAGCUACGGCGGUAAGAGAUGGGCUCGCGUCCCAUUAACCAGAUGGUGAGGUAACGGCUCACCAUAGUAACGAUGGGUAACCGGCCUGAGAGGGUGAACGGUCACACUGGAACUGAGACACGGUCCAGACUCCUACGGGAGGCAGCAGUGGGGAAUAUUGCACAAUGGAGGGAACUCUGAUGCAGCGACGCCGCGUGAGUGAUGAAGGAAUUCGUUUCGUAAAACUCUGUUCUAUGGGAAGAAAGGACUGUACCAUAGGAGAAAGCUCCGGCUAAAUACGUG